rnacentral:rRNA from 1 species
CCAAUAGCGUAUAUUAAAGUUGUUGCAGUUAAAAAGCUCGUAGUUGAAUUUCGGGGUUAGUACGCUGGUCGUGCCUUCGGUAUGUACUGGUGUUACUGAUUCCUACCUUCUGAAGAACCGUCAUGUCAUUAAUUUGGUGUGGCGGGGAAUCAGGACUGUUACUUUGAAAAAAUUAGAGUGUUUAAAGCAGGCUCGCGCUUGAAUACAUUAGCAUGGAAUAAUGAAAUAGGACGUUUGAUCCUAUUUUGUUGGUUUCUAGGAUUGACGUAAUGAUUAAUAGGGAUAGUUGGGGGCAUUAGUAUUCAAUUGUCAGGGGUGAAAUUCUUGGAUUUAUUGAAGACUAACUACUGCGAAAGCAUUUGCCAAGGAUGUUUUCAUUAAUCAAGAACGAAAGUUAGGGGAUCGAAGACGAUCAGAUACCGUCGUAGUCUUAACCAUAAACUAUGCCGACUAGGGAUCGGAUGAUGUUAAUUUUUUAAUGACUCAUUCGGCGCCUUACG